rnacentral:rRNA from 1 species
ACGUAUGGUGCAAGCGUUAUCCGGAUUUACUGGGUGUAAAGGGAGCGUAGGCGGUUUUAUAAGUCUGAUGUGAAAGCCCGGGGCUCAACCCCGGGACUGCAUUGGAAACUGUAGGACUAGAGUGUCGGAGGGGUAAGUGGAAUUCCUAGUGUAGCGGUGAAAUGCGUAGAUAUUAGGAGGAACACCAGUGGCGAAGGCGGCUUACUGGACGAUUACUGACGCUGAGGCUCGAAAGCGUGGGGAGCAAACAG